CCUUAGAGCUGUCAUAGGCAUGUAACAUACUAUGCAAAUGAGUAAAUAGAUGUAUUUUUUAAUAAUCAAAUACCAAUAUUUUAGCCAGGUUAACACGUGUGAUGUUUUUACCAUGUGAAAAUACAGCAUGACAUGACAUGAGCAAUGUGUGCAGGAUACUUUGCUGGCCAGAAAUCUAUUCCUGAUAGCUCCACAACACACGUGCAGUGACAGAGAUGUCUUAUCCGGACAGAGAAGAAAAGGAAAGA